CACAGUUAGACAUAGCUCUGGGAGAUGGAAAUGGAAAGGAAAAUUGGGUUAGAAGCUUGAUUCAUAUGCAUUUCCUGAAAGGAAAAUGCCAACAUUGUAACGAGUUAGACAUAGCUCGGGGAGAUGGAAAUGGAAAGGGAAAUUGGGUUAGAAGCUUGAUUCAUAUGCACUUCCUGAAAGGAAAAUGCCAGCAUUAUAACGAGAAUAAGGCUGGUUGCAGUUGCCAUGCAGAAGUUCAUUGCUGAGGUUGCCACAGACGCUCUUCAGCACUCCAAGGCAAGGCAAUCUGCAGUAGUUAAAGAUAAGAAACAACAAAAGGUGAG